rnacentral:rRNA from 1 species
UACGUAGCAGCGAGCGUUGUUCGGAGUUACUGGGCGUAAAGAGUGCGUAGGCGGUUUUCUAAGUUUGGUGUGAAAUCUCCCGGCUUAACUGGGAGGGUGCGCCGAAGACUGGAAGGCUUGAGUAUGGGAGAGGUAAGCGGAAUUCCUGGUGUAGCGGUGAAAUGCGUAGAUAUCAGGAGGAACACCGGUGGCGAAGGCGGUUCUCUGGGCAUGACCUGACGCUGAGGAGCGAAAGUGUGGGGAGCGAACAGG